GAAAUGCGAUAAGUAGUGUGAAUUGCAGAAUUCAGUGAAUCAUCGAAUCUUUGAACGCACAUUGCGCCCCUUGGUAUUCCAUGGGGCAUGCCUGUUCGAGCGUCAUCUACACCCUCAAGCUCUGCUUGGUGUUGGGCGUCUUUGUCCCGCCUCCGCGCGCGGACUCGCCCCAAAUUCAUUGGCAGCGGCCCUUGCCUCCUCUCGCGCAGCACAUUGCGCUUCUCGAGGUGUUGCGGCCCGCGUCCAGAAAGCAAUCGUUACCGUCUUUGACCUCGGAUCAGGUAGGGAUACCCGCUGAACUUAAGC
rnacentral:misc_RNA from 1 species